GGAAGUUGGGUCUAGCAGACGGGGUAAGACGAAGGACGCAAGCGUGAGCCGGAUUCAUUGGGGUUAAAGGGAGCGGAGGUAGGCUACUAAGUCAGUGGUGAAAUCGCUCGGCUUAACUGAGAAAUUGCCAGUGAUACUGGUGGACUUGUGUGUAGUUGCCGUUGGCGGAAUAUGACAUGUAGUGGUGAAAUACAUAGAGAUGUCAUAGAACACCGAUUGCGAAGGCAGCUGACGAAACUAUAACUGACACUGAGGCUCGAAAGUGCGGGGAUCAAACAGGAUUAGAUACCCCCAGUAGUC
rnacentral:rRNA from 1 species